rnacentral:lncRNA from 1 species
UUCACUGCGAUAAGCUUAAUUUCUUCUCUGGUUUGUAUUGGAGUUUGCUGCUGGUCUCUGCUCCUCUGAUGGAUCCCUCAUUAUGAGCAUGGGAAACCGCGCGGGAAAACUUGGGUUACCACCAAUGGUUUCAUCCCGGGAUCUUGACCUUGAAAAGCACGUGCAUAUGCUUAAUAAGUUUGAGAAUUGAUUAUAAAAGUAAUUGCUUUAGGAGAUUCACUGCUAGCGGAGAACUGGGUCUGAUCGUCUUGUUUGGUCUUCUCGCUGUGACGUCCCUUGCUUUUGUUCUUCCCUUCAUCUGUGAUGGUUGGAUCUUUUGCUCCUGGGUUUGGUUGGUGCUUGUUUAGAGAUUGUGCCCCUCUGGAGUUCACCCUGUACUGAAGUUUGUUUGGUGGCCAGUUUGUCUUGUUUGGUUGGGUCUUCCCUAGAUGGGCUGGGGCUCAUUUUGUGGUGUUGUCUCCUCUUUUUCCUUUUCUGUGUUUGUUUGCUCUUUUUUGCUUGUUCCGGUUUCCUCUUCCGUCGUUUGUUGGUUUUUUGCAGAUCUGCGCUGUUUCCCGUUUGCGCUGAUGCGGCGUCUCCAGUGGUUCCGGAGGUCUUUUGCUUUUGCAAAGUUGGAGAGGAUUAGCGUGUUCUCGUUUGCGUGGCUCGUUUGCUUUGUUUGCUUUGGUGUUUCCUGGGGCCACGGUUGUCUUGUGCACAGGUGACCAGAGCAGGGAGGAUUCAUGAUGCGUUCGGUGGGCAUCCUGUGCUGCCCGCUCGGCUUGGUCCGGCCAGUGCAGAUCUCUCUAGAUGGCCUGAGCUGCCCCCUCGGGUUUUGUUGUUGGCUCUUUUGUGCUUGAGCUGUGUUUCUUCCGGCUUAGGGGGACGACUCGCCGAAGGGUAAUGGUUAGGCCGGAACCUGUGGCGGCGGCUUUCCCGUCCCCUUGAACUGUGGUUCUGUUUUUUUUUGGUUGUUUGUUAGGUCGUUUUGCGCCUUUACGUUGGUCCCUUGUUGUUGUUUUUUUUUCGUUACACCGUCGUUGUAACUAACUUUUCUUUCUUUCUUUUCAAUAAAAUUUUCAUUUCAGCAGUUAAGUUACUGGAACUUAACUGAUGCACGUAAAGGCUUCAGUCGAGUUUGCUAAAACAGAGNCGAUUCAAGGGAGGAACAUGGCUCUUAAGGUGGAUAUUAGGAAAGCUUUCGAUACUCUGAUUUGGAAUUUUGUGGAGGUUAUGCUGGAUUGCUUUGGUUUCCCUCAGACUUUCCGACACUGGAUCAGAGUUAUUUUUCAGUCAGCCAGAAUUUCGGUCCUCUUUAAUGGAGAGCAACAUGGUUUCUUUGGUUGUUCUCGAGGAGUUCGACAUGGCGAUCCUUUGUCACCGGUUCUAUUUGGACUGGCGGAGGAGGUUUUGAGUCGGCUCCUUUCGGAUGCUGCUGAUAGGGGCUUCAUUGCUCGUAUGAGGAUGUCUCGUUCUUUGCUUUUCCCCUCUCAUCUCUUGUAUGCUGAUGAUGUCCUUCUAUUUUGCAAAGCUACGUGGCGCAGCUGCAGGAUGAUUGAGUCGAUUCUUCAUAUUUAUGCUUCGGUUACUGGACAGUUCUGCAAUAAGGCCAAGUCCAAGGUUUUCUUUGGCAAAGGUGUUUCUGUUCAGAUGAGACGUCGACUGCAGCGGGAUCUGGAUUUCUCCACUGGCUCCCUGCCUUUUAUUUAUUUGGGAGUACCUAUUUUUGCUGGUCGUGCUACUACUGCCCGUCUUAUCAGCAUUCGUGACCGCAUCAUUGCUCAUUUUCCUAGAUGGCAGGGCAUGCAGUUAUUUAUGGCGGGACGUCUUUGCCUCGUCACUUCUGUCAUUCAGAGCGCGGCUGUUCAUAGUAUGCUAAUUUAUCGGUGGCCGACUAAGUUACUUCAUGAUUUGGAUAGGGCUUGUCGGUCUUUUAUUUGGACCGGCUGCACUACUUCUAAGCCUAAGUCUUCUGUGGCUUGGAAUCGAGUUUGCGCUCCCAAGGCUCAGGGUGGGCUUAAUGUGAAGUCCUUUACGCACAUCAGUCAGAGUUUCUUGAUGAGAUUAGGCUGGUUGAUGAUUACUGCGGACGAUGAGAUUUCAGUUGUUCCGACAGUGUUAUCUGGAUAAGUGCCUGAGACCUCGUUCCCCUUGGUUCUCCUCUACGAUCUGGUUGGGCACUCGGGCUGCUAUCCAGACUCUUGUCAGCGACACUCAUUGUUCUAUAGGAUUUGGCUCUGCAAUUCUGUUUUGGAUUGAUAACUGGUUAGGGUAUCGACUGGUUGAUAGAAUCGGUAUUCCGACUACUAUGCAUCACACUCUCAUGCAGCCAAUCUCAGAUUACUACUUUGAUGAUACUUGGCACUUUACUCUGGAUUUCUUGCAGGUCUUUCCAGACAUAGCGUUUGAUAUUAUCUCGGUUCCUAUUAGCGGGGGAGAGGACCGAAGAGCUUGGACCCAUUCUCAUUUUGGUGAGGUCUCCGCUUCGCUUGCUAUGGAUCAUAUCCGUCCGAGUUUUCCGAUUGUUGAUUGGGGUAAAUGGAUCUGGGCUCCAUUUAUUCCAAUGCGCCGUUCCAUUAUUACUUGGCGGGUGAUUCUGGGUCGUCUUGCUACUGCUAGCUCUCUUCGUCGUUCUGGUUUAGUCGGUCCAGGCUGGUGCCCACUUUGCCGGAAUGCGAACGAGGAUAUUCAUCAUCUUUUUUGGGACUGUACUUUUGCUCGACAAAUCUGGUGCUCCCUUUUCAGUUGGUUCAGGGUGGAUGGUCCGUUGAUUCACGACAUUGGGAGUCUGCUCCUUUGGGCUAUGAAGGUGCAGACUAGCAAGCAGGUUGAUAGCCUUUGGCGGAUUGGGGUUAUGUCCACUGUUUGGAGCAUCUGGAACAUUCGUAACAGAGUUGUGUUUGAUGAGGCUCCUGUCUCUGCAAGGGCUUUUCGAUCCAGAUCAAAGCUUUUAUUUUGGAAACUUCCCACUUAUGUAGGUGAGAUGGCAACUCUUAGAGGAUUCUGAUCUUCAUGGUCUUGGGGUGCCGGGCAGACCCUCGCCCGACCUCUUAUGUUUAUGUUUCUGGAUCCGCCUCCGACUCCUUGGCGCAAAAUCAAUAUUGAUGGCUCGUUCAUGGCUCCCCUCCUAUUCAGCUGGUGGAGUUAUCAGAGAUCUCUAGCGUUUGGGUUGUUUCAUUUCUCUACUGGACGUGGUUGGGCCUUUGAGGCAGAGCUGCUUGCCCUCAUCAUUGCUUUGGAGCAUUGUCAUCAUGGUUGGAGCCAUUUUGGAUGAGACGACUGCCUUAUUUGGUGGAUCUUUUCCGUUCUCGGUCAACACGUUCCUUGGAGGUUCUUCAGCCGCUGGGUAAGGUUCUUUCUUCCCUUGCUGGUUUUCAUUUUAUUAUACUCACAUUAAGGGAAGGGAACGGGUUGCGGAUUGUUUGGCUUCUCGUAGGGAGGAAGGUAUUGGAAUUUUCGAUCCGGAUAUCUCCAGCUGGUCAGGAUGACAAGCGGAAACUGCCUUACAUUCGGAUUGUCACUUGAGGUGUUCUUCUUUCCUGGGGCGUUCCUUUCCCCUUUUCUUGUUUGCUUUGUUUGUUUUGUUUUGUUUGUUCUUGCUUCUGCCUGUCUGGGGUGAUGACCUCUCCCUUUCGCGCUCUCUUGCCUCUCUUACUUCUUUGGUCCAGCUUGGACUCCUUGGGGCACUGGUUUGUGUUUGUUUUGGUUGUUGAUCUGGUUCUUUGGUCCUGCUGUCCUGGUGUUGGGAAGGAUUCCAAAGUUUUGGGUAGUCACACUUGGGGGUCCUUGCUUGUCGUGAUUUGUCCGGUUGAUGCUAGCAGGAGUGUCUUCACUGCGAUAAGCUUAAUAUCUUCUCUGGUUUGUAUUGGAGUUUGCUGCUGGUCUCUGCUCCUCUGAUGGAUCCCUCAUUAUGAGCAUGGGAAACCGCGCGGGAAGACUUGGGUUACCACAAUGGUUUCAUCCCGUGAAGAUGACCUUUAAAAGCACGUUUUGAGCAUAAGCUUAAUAAGUUUGAGAAUUGAUUAUAAAAG